rnacentral:sRNA from 1 species
AGCAGAGAGUGUGAGAAAGAGAGCAUCAGCAGACCAGUAGUUAUCAACAAGCGAACUUACCUGUGAAGUUCAGAGAUCAAGUGUAUCCCAUCAUUUGCUCUCCCUCUCUCUUUGCACCAUAAGUUAUCUAAUCCUAACUCAGAAAAGACUGUAAUCAAUUCAAGCAAUAACACUACACAAACGGCAAAAAACCUUAAUCUAAUCGAACAAACAUAUAAAGACUACAAAGCAAAGCAAGAGGAUCCAUGGACGAUAAAA